rnacentral:lncRNA from 1 species
CAAAUCAGAAGCUCCCCGUGGCUUCCAACCCGAUCUCUCCAGGCAAACCAGGCUCCACCCGGGGCCUCAGGGCCCUGGGCUCCACCUGGCGGCCUGGCCCGCUCCCUCCGGUCCUCAACCCUGUAAACACGUACUUCUCCCGCUUCGGAAGAUUCAAGUCAAGCCACACCUCCUCCUUAUCCAGGACCCUCCCUGCUCUUGGCCGCAAAGAUGGCUCAGACGGCCCCACACUCGCUCCCCCAACCGCUGCAAUCUGGAAGAAAUUACUCUUUCCAAACAGCCAGACUUCCCCACUUGCAGGAAAUUCCAGGCUGGCAGGGGAGGGGCCGGGCUGGGGGGCCGCCCCGUCCAUCCAAUCCCCCACCCCCUCCGCGGUCCUUCCACCCGCACAUCCAGUCCCGGCCACUUCCCGCCCCCACACUCAGCCUGGAGGGGCCUCCGCUUUUCCGCCGCGGCUUCUUAGUCCUUAAAUCCUAG